AUACUUGGAUUCGAUUUUAGAUUUUGAGCGAAGCGACGAAAACGUUUGUUUGUUUUACCGUGAUGCGUUUUGUUUUGUUUUUUUUUUCUGUUCGUUCAUAAACCACUUUUCUAUCAGAAAUUUCGCUCUAACUUUAAAUGGACUUUCUUGUAACGUUUUCGAUCGCCAGGAGGCGAGGAUGCAAUUUACAAACCGCCGAGUUUUCGACCGUUGCGCUUGGAUAUAUUGACGUGGCAGGGUCGAUUAUCAGAGGGCUCUGGGCAUUUUCAAAACCGUUCGUAAACCGUUAAGGAUUAUGAAAAGCGAACGUUUUCUCUAUAUUGAAGAUG